UGGGGAAUUUUGGACAAUGGGCGAAAGCCUGAUCCAGCAAUGCCGCGUGUGUGAAGAAGGCCUUCGGGUUGUAAAGCACUUUUGUCCGGAAAGAAAUCCUUGGCUCUAAUACAGUCGGGGGAUGACGGUACCGGAAGAAUAAGCACCGGCUAACUACGUGCCAGCAGCCGCGGUAAUACGUAGGGUGCAAGCGUUAAUCGGAAUUACUGGGCGUAAAGCGUGCGCAGGCGGUUUGCUAAGACCGAUGUGAAAUCCCCGGGCCCAACCUGGGAACUGCAUUGGUGACUGGCAGGCUAGAGUAUGGCAGAGGGGGGCUAGAAUUCCACGUGUAGCAGUGAAAUGCGUAGAGAUGUGGAGGAAUACCGAUGGCGAAGGCAGCCCCCUGGGCCAAUACUGACGCUCAUGCACGAAAGCGUGGGGAGCAAACAGGAUUAGAUACCCUGGUAGUCCACGCCCUAAACGAUGUCAACUAGUUGUUGGGGAUUCAUUUCCUUAGUAACGUAGCUAACGCGUGAAGUUGACCGCCUGGGGAGUACGGUCGCAA
rnacentral:rRNA from 1 species